rnacentral:tRNA from 1 species
AGGGGGUUAGUUAAAUGGUAUAACAGUGGUCUCCAAAACCUCUGUUGGGAGUUCGAUUCUCUCACCCCCUGCCA